rnacentral:rRNA from 1 species
UACGAGUGCCCCGAGCGUUGCCCGGAUUUAUUGGGCAUAAAGGGCGCGUAGGCGGGCUAUCAAGUCCGGGGUGAAAUCCUCCCGCUCAACGGGAGAACUGCCUCGGAUACUGAUGGUCUCGAGGGGGAUAGGGGCACACGGAACUGUGGGUGGAGCGGUGAAAUGCGUUGAUAUCCAUAGGAACUCCGGUGGCGAAAGCGGUGUGCUGGAUCCCUUCUGACGCUGAGGCGCGAAAGCCAGGGGAGCGAACGGG